rnacentral:misc_RNA from 1 species
UCCAGCAGGGUCUGUCGCAGG